rnacentral:rRNA from 1 species
GUGGGGAAUAUUGCGCAAUGGGCGAAAGCCUGACGCAGCAACGCCGCGUGCGGGAUGACGGCCUUCGGGUUGUAAACCGCUUUCAGCAGGGAAGAAGCCGCAAGGUGACGGUACCUGCAGAAGAAGCACCGGCUAACUACGUGCCAGCAGCCGCGGUAAUACGUAGGGUGCAAGCGUUGUCCGGAUUUAUUGGGCGUAAAGAGCUCGUAGGCGGUAUGUCGCGUCGGAUGUGAAAACCCAAGGCUCAACCUUGGGCCUGCAUCCGAUACGGGCACACUAGGGUGUGGUAGGGGAGACUGGAACUCCUGGUGUAGCGGUGAAAUGCGCAGAUAUCAGGAAGAACACCAAUGGCGAAGGCAGGUCUCUGGGCCAUUACUGACGCUGAGGAGCGAAAGCGUGGGGAGCAAACAGGAUUAGAAACCCCUGUAGUCC